UGAACGCUAGCGGCAGGCUUAAUACAUGCAAGUCGAGGGGCAUCAAGGUACACGAAAGUGUAUUGUUGGCGACCGGCGGACGGUGAGUAAUAGGUAGGUAACCUACCUCAUACUGAGGCAUAGCUGGGAGAAAUUCCAGGUAAUUCCUCAUGAGGUUAUAUGACACAUGUGAUAUAAUCAAAGGUAUCGCAAGGUACUGGUAUGAGAUGGGCUUACUGACCAUUAGCUAGUUGGUGAGAUAAGAGCUCACCAAGGCGAAGAUGGUUAGGGGUUUUGAGAGAGAGAUCCCCCACAUUGGAACUGAGAUACGGUCCAGACUCCUACGGGAGGCAGCAGUAGGGAAUAUUGGGCAAUGGGCGGAAGCCUGACCCAGCCAUGCCGCGUGAAGGAAGACGGCCUUAUGGGUUGUAAACUUCUUUACUAUGCGACUAACUAGAUUUACGAGAUAAUUCUAUAGAAUGUAGCAUAGCAAAAAGCACCGGCUAACUCCGUG
rnacentral:rRNA from 1 species